GUUUUAUUUUGGGAAAGAAAAAAUAGAUGUUCAGACUCAACCUCUCUCUCUUCUUUCGGAGGCCCAGCUCCCCAACGCUCUCUCUCUCUCUCUCUCUCAUACACACAUAAACGCCAGACCUUCAAGAAACCACCCAUUUAUUGAUCGUGAACAAGAAACCGCAAAGAACGAAAAGCACCGCAACCUCAAGAAAGAGCUCCAUCAAUCCACAGAGCCUGAUCCUCUUGCUCCUCAGAUGCUCCCUCACAACCUCCGUUUUCAGAUCUCCGAUCUCUCUCCUUAGCGGCUUCUCCAUCUCCUGAAUCACAAAACCAUCAACUCCGGUCAUCAAUUACAGAAACAGAUCGAAAAUCAAUUUUUAUGGUUUUUCUAGCUGCUGAGCUUGAACUUCUUCACAGGCCUUUACUCAGAUGGGUGUAUUUGGUAAAUUACAACCGACAAUAAAUCCAUGUCGUCCUCAGCCCUCAAGUCCAAGAAGGGAAAGACACGUUAUAUAUCUUCCUCUCAACGUCAGUUCGAUCUCUCUCUCUUUUCUUGUUUGUUAAUAGUAUCUGAAUUGUGUGUGGGUCAGAGGUCGGUGAAGAAGAAAGGGCUGUAUUCUUUACCCCCGGUCGUGGCAGGCUUCUUUAUCACUUGUGAUCGUGCUGCUGCUUUAUAUGCAAAAGUAUCCAAUUUCUCUCUUAAUGUCUAUGGUCUGAAUUUCUCGGAUUAAAGCUCACAUAUUGGAUUGUAGAGAAAGAGAGUUUAGGGGUGUAUUGGGAUGGCUUUUCGUGGAGAUGCAAAGCUGGGUUUUGGAUGGUAAAUUACCUAUUUGCGUUUUUGGAUGGUAAAAAAGCUGGGUAUCUCUUUCAUGAACUGCAGAGGCUGCACUGAAGGAAUUGAGGAAUAGGUUCCUACCUAUUUACCUAUCUACCUGACUGCCUCUUUGUUUCUAGAAAGUCUUUAUAUUGUACUUUCUUUAUUUUAGGAGAGCUUUUAAGGUCUUGAUUGCUUUAUUUUUGCUGGAUCUAGAGGGAUUCAGAGUUCUAAAUUCAAAGACCUUCAGAAACUCAUUGCCAACAAAUUAGAAUGCUCAGUAGUAAAGAAAGAGGCAGUGAAUGAAUCAAGUCCUAUUAAGGUUUUGGUUGCUGCCUAUACAAGAGGCAGUUUUCUUUUCUAUUUGAGUUUCAGUUCACUUGAGUAGGACUUUUCAUGAAUGAAAUACAAUGCUCUACCAUGUUUUUCCUAUAUAUUCAAAUGGCUGUAAUUUAUGCUUAUUCCACAUUUUUUAUUCUUCAGACCAAAUCAAAGUAUUGCUUGACCAACAAGAGAGGUUGUAUGAAAGACAAGCUGAACUACAAGCUCUACUGGAAGCUUCCAAAGGUCCUGGACCCCCUGUUAAUGGGGCUUCAACAGCCACAGAAGGCUGGUCUGGAUCAUCGCGAGUGCUUGACCUAGAAGAGAUUCUCGAGUGAUGCGGCCGGGACGAUGAUUCCGAAUCACCUACUGCAGAUUCUCAUGAUUUACUUAACGACAGCGCAGUAUUUCUUCGGAGUAGAGUUGAAAGGGUAGUAUCUGAUUGCUCUGACGUUGGUCUGUUAGGGGAUCAAGAUUUUGAAGCAUAUAUGGGACGUUUUGAGCAGGAGCUUAGCUCCAUGGAGGCCGAGAAUGCUAAGGUUUCCAAUGAAAUUUGAGGGUCUAGUUCGAACCCAUGAGGAAGAUGAGGGUACUAUCUUGGUCUGGCAUGCUACUGCACAUUGACUUGUAAAUGACACAUAAUGGGAUAAUGUUUUUGUUUCUUAUGAGUUCUGUUUAGGUAGGGUUAGUUUUGAUUAUGUUCUAUCUUUUAUCUAUCGUUAACUAAUCAUACUAUUAUAGGUGUAUUAUAUUCUUUUCCGAUGAUCUAUUGGCUUGCUUUGAGGAGGAAAAGGUAGCAUCAGAAGUUCUCUUAGCUGCACCCUGGUAAAAAGUACUGUUUGAUUACACAGAUCCUACGCCAAAAUGAAUGCUUUUUUGCCUCAAGGGACAUGUGUGAAGUGAUGGCAAAAAUCAUGGAAGUCUAGGUUGCUAGAGCUAUUGUUAGCAUGAUUGGUCAGUUUGGUAUUGAGUUCUACUCUGCAUAUCUUGUUGCUGAGAAGGAAGAGGAAGGAACUGUAUAGAGGAAGUUGAUGGAGAGAAGGAAAUGGACAAGUACAAUAUGUUUCUGGCCUUGAUGUUUUUGGCCUUUAUGUUUAGGUAGGAUUAGUAUGUUGAUGUUGGGAUGAUGAUGUAAUGAACUGGUUUUGAAUGUUCAAUCAAUGGAUGUGUUUUUGAAUGUGUUA